GAUGAACGCUAGCUACAGGCUUAACACAUGCAAGUCGAGGGGUAACGAGAGGAAAGCUUGCUUUCCUUGUCGACGACCGGCGCACGGGUGAGUAACGCGUAUCCAACCUGCCCCCAACUAGGGAAUAACCUUGCGAAAGCAAGACUAAUACCCUAUAAUUUCCUCAGAUGUCAUCUGACGAGGAAUAGAGAUUUAUCGGUUGUGGAUGGGGAUGCGUCUGAUUAGCUUGUUGGCGGGGUAACGGCCCACCAAGGCAACGAUCAGUAGGGGUUCUGGGAGGAAGGUCCCCCACAUGGGAACUGAGACACGGUCAAAACGCCUACGGGAGGCAGCAGUGAGGAAUAUUGGUCAAUGGGCGGAAGCCUGAACCAGCCAAGUAGCGUGCAGGAUGACGGCCCUAUGGGUUGUAAACUGCUUUUAUACAGGAAUAAAGUUAGCCACGUGUGGUUAUUUGUAGGUACUGUAUGAAUAAGGACCGGCUAAUUCCGUGCCAGCCGCCGCAGUAA
rnacentral:rRNA from 1 species